CGGAUGUAGUAAGUCUCUAGCCAACUGAAUAAGAAAGCAUAUUGUUACUACUAGAAUGAAACCACGACGCUGGCAGAUGUGACCAUACGUGAAAUAUGCAUGCAAAAACCACCGUCAUACUCCGCAGAGGCCACACCUCGGGUGUUAUUUUUUUAAAGGCUGUCAACUCUCAUCAGUACUUUCUGUAAUGUUUGCGUCCUCCCCGGUCCCGGUACCGCGGCUCUCUGACCGCCGGGAGACAUAUGGCAAGGUUCACCCGGUUCAUCCGGGCUCAACCGAGUAUCAGUCUCCACUAAAAACACCACUGCGGUGCUCCGUGAGGACGGGACGGCCACCCAGGGCCCGCCGAGGGUCCAAACCGCGCAGGGUCUGUGGAAACCGGGGUUCGACAUCUGACCCGACAGGGGCCCCGCGCGCCCGAGGCGUGACCGCCCUUGGUGGAGCGCACGGGAAAGACAACAACGAAGUUCGGUUUUAAAAAAGGAAACGGGCAGAAAAUCGCUUCCGAGACAAGGCAGCGGGGGCGAGAACCACGAAACUCAAAGACGGCCCCCAAGGCUUCAAAGACACAGCCUGGCGGGCGCCCACCCCACACCCGGAGUGGUCUGGAACCAAACCCGAAAUACCUCCAAGCACGUGUGACUUAU